rnacentral:tRNA from 1 species
GCGGUCUUAGCUCAGCUGGGAGAGCGCUUGCUUGACGUGCAGGAGGUCAUCGGUUCGAGUCCGGUAGACCGCA